AGCCAUGAACAGUGGCAGUAAUGAAAUGUCUCCUGGGUGUCUUGGAACGUUGUGAGAGGACCCAGGAGAGGUUCCCUGGGAAACCAGAGAUGAGCUCCAAAGCAUCUGCAGGCUUGGCCAGCUGACAGGUGCUCUGCUGCGCUCUGAACAUGGCUGCUAGACGGAUUGUUUGCAAGAAAAGGCUCGGUACAAGAAAAUGUCAACAUUGUUCAGAGAUGUCAGCAACAAAUCCACUCCAGCUAUAAAAUUGCUUCUGCAAGAACACGGAGAAAUCCGUGCGUUUAUCCUGAAGACAACUCUUUCAAACAAAUGUUCUAAUUAGGAACCACAACAUCCUAUUUCUUUUUUAAUACUCUAGUUGUAAUUGGACAACAAAUGUUGUUGAGCAAGAGAAUGUCAUCGUCUAAACAUGGAAAUGGAAUUUAAAGUUCUGCAUUCAAUUACAUUUGGGGGUCUGCCUUUCAUUUUGAGCUAAACCUGGAGAAUCUGAAACAACAUAGCUCCGUUCUUGCUUCUCUUCUGUAAAUGCCUGAGUUGAGAAAUUCUAUACACUCGCUACCAACCCUGUGAAUCAGAAAUCUGGGAAAUUAAAAGCAUACCGUUCUUCUCAGUGUACCCAAACAAGACCGAGCACAGAAAGGAAGACCGAGCAAAAAGAAAACCACCCAACAAAGCAGAAGGACUGUCUCCCGAGAUUUAACACACAGGCCAGACUGAAGUUGAGCUGUAGGUGGAUACAAUUUCCACAGUGCUUGUAGGGAAGCAUAGAGCAGGGCUGGAGCUGCUAAUUCUUUGGAAUGUGCAAAGAGUCUGUUAACACUGGAGAGCUGUGCUGCCUUUCCCUCUUCAGUGCACGGGAUGAAUUUAAUCACACUGCUUUAACCAUUUGCUUUUACUGCACUAGCAGAGGUCAUUUUGCACUGCGAACAGAUGUGAAGGUGAAUACGGCAUUCAUCAGAACACUUAACCCUCCCCGCAAAAAAAGAAACAGCCAACGAGCCCAAAAUGUUUGUUGACAUGAAUUGGUUUGAAAGGUUUCAUUUAAAAACAAAGACGUUGCACUUGUGAAAAUGGCACCACUGGCCUUUCAGGUGAACAUCAGUUAUUCCAUGGAAACACACCUUGCUGCGUAAAACAUGAUUACUGCUGUACUGCUGUUCCAUGACUACAAUUGCUCUCAAAGGUGCAAUUCUCAAGCCUUCCUUCCAAGAAAUGGCUUAUUUUUGAGUCUGUGACAUUACUCUGUUGAGAAGCAUUUUUACAGGGCCCCACGUUAAAUGGUGCCGUUUUUCAAAGGACACUGUACGUGACUGGUUAUUCUUCUAAGUGCACAGAAGGAACUAUUGCUGCUUAACCAGGAACGUGUAUCCCACUUCAGCAGCAAAUGUUGGAGUAAUUUGUCACCUGAUCAGAAUUCUGAUUUUAACACAAAUCAGUCGUGUACCUUUUAUUAACAGCAGCACUCGUAACACUGCUAUUGUGCACUUCCUACCUUCCAAACCUGUACUUAAUAAAGAAAUUAAAAGAAUCCUUUCUGCCUUUUGUUUUCAGGGAGUCUUUCACCAUAGAUCUGUUCUUCAGAAGUCUAAGGUCAAUUUUUCUAGGCCCUGCCUUCCUUAGG